rnacentral:lncRNA from 1 species
GAGUUGGUUAGAAGUAGGAGUCUUGAGUAGGAGUCCUAUUAGGAGUUGGUUAGAAGUAUGAGUCUUAAGUAAGAGUCCUAUUAGGAGUUAGGGUUUAGAAGCCCUAUAAAUAGUCAUGUAUUCCACCUCUUUUCAUAAGCAAUAGAUGAAUCUUUUCUACAGCCUUUGAGCAGCAACUUGGAGGGAGGAACCCCUAUAGAGUUCCAAGGAGGCCGAUCCCCUAAAGAGAUCAACC